CCUACGGGAGGCAGCAGUGAGGAAUAUUGGUCAAUGGACGAGAGUCUGAACCAGCCAAGUAGCGUGAAGGAUGACUGCCCUAUGGGUUGUAAACUUCUUUUAUAUGGGAAUAAAAUGUUCCACGUGUGGGAUUUUUUAUGUACCAUAUGAAUAAGGAUCGGCUAACUCCGUUCCAGCAGCCGCGGUAAUACGGAGGGUCCGAGCGUUAUCCGGAUUUAGUGGGUUUAAAGGGAGAGUAGGUGGAUUGUUAAGUCAGUUGUGAAAGUUUGCGGCUCAACCGUAAAAUUGCAGUUGAAACUGGCAGUCUUGAGUACAGUAGAGGUGGGCGGAAUUCGUGGUGUAGCGGUGAAAUGCUUAGAUAUCACGAAGAACACCGAUUGCGAAGGCAGCUCCCUGGACUGCAACUGACACUGAGGCUCGAAAGUGUGGGUAUCAAACAGGAUUAGAUACCCCUGUAGUC
rnacentral:rRNA from 1 species